UGGUCAAGCUACAAAGGGCUAAUGGUGGAUACCUAGGCACGCAGAGGCGAAGAAGGACGUGGCGACCGACGAAAAGCUCCGGGGAGCUGGAAGCAAGCAUUGAGCCGGAGAUGUCCGAAUAGGGCAACCUAGAAACAGCCUGUUGAAUAUAUAGACAGGUAUGAGCGAACCUAGCGAACUGAAACAUCUUAGUAGCUAGAGGAAGAGAAAGAAAAAUCGAUUUCCCAAGUAGUGGUGAGCGAAAAGGAAAGAGCCUAAACCAGCAAUUUUAAUUACUGGGGUAGUGGGAAAGCAACAUGGAAGCUGGAAGCUAGACGAAGCAGCCAAAAACUGCACCAAAGAAGGUGAUAGUCCUGUAGUCGAAAGUGGAAAGAUACUAGCUUAAUCCCGAGUAGCACGGGGCACGAGAAAUCCCGUGUGAAUCAGCGAGGACCACCUCGUAAGGCUAAAUACUACUGCGUGACCGAUAGUGAAACAGUACCGCGAGGGAAAGGUGAAAAGAACCCCGGAAGGGGAGUGAAAUAGAACAUGAAACCAUUAGCCUACAAGCAGUGGAAGGACGAUUUAACGUCUGACCGCGUGCCUGUUGAAGAAUGAGCCGGCGAGUUAUAAGUAGUGGCAGGUUAAAGCAAUAAUUGCUGAAGCCAAAGCGAAAGCGAGUCUGAAUAGGGCGAAAUAAAUGUCACUGGUUAUAGACCCGAACCCGGGUGAUCUAACCAUGUCCAGGAUGAAGCUUGGGUAACACCAAGUGGAGGUCCGCACCGACUGAUGUUGAAAAAUCAGCGGAUGAGGUGUGGUUAGGGGUGAAAUACCAAUCGAACCCGGAGCUAGCUGGUUCUCCCCGAAAUGUGUUUAGGCGCAGCGGUAGUGAUUAUAGUUUGGGGGUAAAGCACUGUUUCGGUGCGGGCGGCGAAAGCUGUACUAAAUCGAGACAAACUCAGAAUACCAAAUGCACACACUACCAGUGAGACGGUGGGGGAUAAGCUUCAUCGUCAAGAGGGAAACAGCCCAGACCACCAGCUAAGGUCCCCAAAUUGUCACUAAGUGAUAAAGGAGGUGGGAGUGCAAAGACAACCAGGAGGUUUGCCUAGAAGCAGCCAUCCUUAAAAGAGUGCGUAAUAGCUCACUGGUCAAGCGCUCCUGCGCCGAAAAUGAACGGGGCUAAGUGACAUACCGAAGCUGUGGGAUAUCUAAAAAAUAUCGGUAGGGGAGCGUUCUGCUUUGGGUGAAGCACUAGCGGCAAGCAGGUGUGGACGAAGCAGAAGUGAGAAUGUCGGCUUGAGUAGCGAAAACAUUGGUGAGAAUCCAAUGCCCCGAAACCCUAAGGGUUCCUCCGGCAGGUUCGUCCGCGGAGGGUUAGUCAGGACCUAAGGCGAGGCCAAACGGCGUAGUCGAUGGACAACGGGUAAUUAAUCCCGUACUGAUAUUGAUUUGUGCAGAGGGACGGAGAAGGCAUGAGCCAGCCGGAUGUUGGUUACCGGUGCAAGCGUUCAAGGCGUUGAGGAGUGGAGAAAACAUUCCGAGCUAAGGCGUGAGUCCGAGGUGAUACGUCACCGAAGUGGUAGCAGUCAAGCUUCCAAGAAAAGCUCCAAGCACGUUAAGUCAAUGUCACCUGUACCCGAAACCGACACAGGUAGGGAGGUUGAGAAUACCAAGGGGCGCGAGAUAACUCUCUCUAAGGAACUCGGCAAAAUGGCCCCGUAACUUCGGAAGAAGGGGUGCCCACCUAAGACGUGG
rnacentral:rRNA from 1 species